AUGUACAUUAUUACAUCAUAAUUUUAAUUCACUAGAUCCCAUUAGAACUUUGCAGUUAAGCACACUCAGACUAGAGUAAUACUAGGAUGGGUGACCGCCUGGGAAGUCCUAGUGUUUUACAUA
rnacentral:rRNA from 1 species